GGCCACUUAGCUCAGUUGGUAGAGCACUCGGUUUACAUCCGAUCGGUCGGGGGUUCAAGUCCCUCAGUGGCCA
rnacentral:tRNA from 1 species